rnacentral:rRNA from 1 species
AGUCACUGACAUUAGAUACCCGUGUAGUCCAGGGUGUAAACGCUGCAGACUUGGUGUUGGGAACCCUUCGGGGGUGCUCAGUGCCGGAGAGAAGUUGUUAAGUCUGCUACUUGGGGAGUACGUCCGCAAGGAUGAAACUUAAAGGAAUUGGCGGGGGAGCACCGCAACGGGAGGAGCGUGCGGUUUAAUUGGAUUCAACGCCGAAAAACUCACCAGCAGCGACUGUUACAUGAAAGUCAGGUUGAUGACCUUACUAGAUUUCAG